rnacentral:lncRNA from 1 species
GAAACAGCAGCAGCUGGAAGUCAAGAGGAGUGCUCUGUGGAGGAACACACCCACAGGCACCAGCAUGCCGGCAGGCCACUGACUGGCAAAACAACGCGGUGUUUGGCUGGGGCAGUCGGAGGAGCGCUCGGGCCGCCAAGCAGACCGACUCCAGGGAAAACCAUCUCCCUUCUGGCUCCCCCAUCUGCUAAGAGCCAUGUAAGAUAUGCCUGCUUCCCCUUUGCCUUCUGCCGUGAUUGAAAGCUUCCUGAGGCCUCCCCAGAAGGCAAGCAGAUGCCAACAUCAUGCUUCCUGUACAGCCUGUGGAACUGCCCUCCCCUCUGCUUCUCACUGGUCCUGAGUGUGUCCUGGAAUAACAUGUGGGCUGUGCUAUCCGGUGUUGUGUGUGUCACAGAUGCAAUUCAAAAUCCUAAGGCUGGAAAACCAUUACUUAAAAAAAAAAAAAAAAAAAGACUAGCCAGCCUGCUUUCUGAGCAUCUACUUGAUAGCAAGAGGGCCUCAUGCUCAACCCCUCCGUGCUGGGAAGGAAGCAUUCCCCUCAUCAAGGACUGCGGCUCUCUGGAAUAAGCAACGUGUGUUCCCUCUUGGGGGUCAGCCAAGGCCCUGAACAUCACAAACUCCUCCUCCACCUC